GAGUUGAGACUCGUAGCAGAUAGCUCAGUAACACGUGGCCAAACUACCCUAUGGAUCCAGACAACCUCGGGAAACUGAGGCUAAUCUGGAAUAGGGCUCUCAUCCUGGAGUGGAGAGAGCCUGAAAUGCUCCGGCGCCAUAGGAUGUGGCUGCGGCCGAUUAGGUAGACGGUGGGGUAACGGCCCACCGUGCCAGUAAUCGGUACGGGUUGUGAGAGCAAGAGCCCGGAGACGGUAUCUGAGACAAGAUACCGGGCCCUACGGGGCGCAGCAGGCGCGAAACCUUUACACUGCACGCCAGUGCGAUAAGGGGACUCCAAGUGCGAGGGCAUAUAGUCCUCGCUUUUUGCGACCGUAAGGUGGUCGCGGAAUAAGUGCUGGGCAAGACCGGUGCCAGCCGCCGCGGUAAUACCGGCAGCACGAGUGAUGACCGCUGUUAUUGGGCCUAAAGCGUCCGUAGCUGGCCGCGCAAGUCUAUCGGGAAAUCUCUCCGCUUAACGGAGAGGCGUCCGGUGGAAACUGUGUGGCUUGGGACCGGAAGACCAGAGGGGUACGUCUGGGGUAGGAGUGAAAUCCCGUAAUCCUGGACGGACCACCGGUGGCGAAAGCGCCUCUGGAAGACGGAUCCGACGGUGAGGGACGAAAGCUCGGGUCACGAACCGGAUUAGAUACCCGGGUAGUCCGAGCUGUAAACGAUGUCUGCUAGGUGUGACACAGGCUACGAGCCUGUGUUGUGCCGUAGGGAAGCCGUGAAGCAGACCGCCUGGGAAGUACGUCCGCAAGGAUGAAACUUAAAGGAAUUGGCGGGGGAGCACUACAACCGGAGGAGC
rnacentral:rRNA from 1 species